rnacentral:miRNA from 1 species
CCAAUUCCCACUUCCUU